UACGUAGGGUGCAAGCGUUAAUCGGAAUUACUGGGCGUAAAGCGUGCGUAGACGGUUAUUUAAGUCGGGUGUGAAAGCCCCGGGCUUAACCUGGGAAUGGCAUUUGGGACUGCAAGGCUCGAGUGCGGCAGAGGAGACUGGAAUUCCUGGUGUAGCAGUGAAAUGCGUAGAUAUCAGGAGGAACACCGAUGGCGAAGGCAGGUCUCUGGGCCGAUACUGACGCUGAGGAGCGAAAGCGUGGGGAGCGAACAGG
rnacentral:rRNA from 1 species